rnacentral:lncRNA from 1 species
UACUGUCGUCGCAGUGACUGUAGCUUAAUUUCUUUCAUAUUUCCAGCAGUUCCAUACCUAUCUUGUAGGAUCUCCCAUGUUUCUUUAGCCGUUGUCGCCUUUGACACUUUCUGAAAAAUCGCUGCCGAGAUGCAUUGAUGCAAUAUCAUGCGUGCUUUGCAAUCUAGCUUUCUAUUCUCUUUGUACGCCUUCUUUUCUUCGUCUGUAGCGUUCUUUGUGGGUUCUUUAAACCCAAUCUUCACAAUCUCAUCGAUCUCCUGGAAACCAAGUAUAGCAUCCAUCUUGACGCACCAAUCUUCGAAGUUCUUUCCGUCAAAUAUGGGUAGAUUACUCUGGAUCAUCCCCGCCAUCCUUUCAACGUGAAGCCUUUCUUCACUGCACAAAUUCUUCGCAGAGAACGAUACUUCCCAGGUUCAGAAACCUAGCUCUGGAUACCACUGUAAGCGUAUG